rnacentral:rRNA from 1 species
GAUGAACGCUGGCGGCGUGCCUAAUACAUGCAAGUCGAGCGAAUGACGAGGAGCUUGCUCCUCUGAUUUAGCGGCGGACGGGUGAGUAACACGUGGGUAACCUGCCUGUAAGACGGGGAUAACUCCGGGAAACCGGAGCUAAUACCGGAUGAUAACGAGAAGCGCCUGCUUCUUUUUUGAAAGUCGGUUUCGGCUGACGCUUACAGAUGGGCCCGCGGCGCAUUAGCUAGUUGGUGGGGUAACGGCUCACCAAGGCGACGAUGCGUAGCCGACCUGGGAGGGUGAUCGGCCACACUGGGAAUGAGACACGGCCCAGACUCCUACGGGAGGCAGCAGUAGGGAAUCUUCGGCAAUGGACGAAAGUCUGACCGAGUAACGCCGCGUGAGCGAUGAAGGCCUUCGGGUCGUAAAGCUCUGUUGUCAGAGAAGAACAAGUACCGGAGUAACUGCCGGUACCUUGACGGUACUUGACCAGAAAGCCACGGCUAACUACGUGCCAGCCGCCGCAGUAA